ACCCCGCCGAGAGAGAAAUUCCCGCGCGAUUCCUCCUUUCUCCCUUCUCUGGUUUUGCGAUCUACUGCAGGCAUCGCAGGUCGUGAGAGCAGGUCGGAAAAGAUGAGAACUCCGGGCGGUGCGAUGUCAGCUAAAAGAUUUGAGGAGUUGAGACUCUAC